UGUUCUGUGGCUUAUUUAGUUGGUUAAAGCGCCGGUCUAGCGAAUAUGUAGUCGUGGGUUCGAAUCCCACCAGAACGC
rnacentral:tRNA from 1 species